CGUUCUUGCUCAUUUUGCUUCUGAGAAAUGAGCAAAAACGGGACGGAAAACAUGAAAUUUUUGAAAAUACAAACAAACUUUUCGCAAGACCGAAACAUGUGAUACAUUUUUGUUUCUCUUGAACUGAUUUUGAAAAUCUAGAUCUCCAAUAUAUAAAACCAAAUAAAAGUGUCAAUUGAAAUUAAAAACCGGUUUUGAGCUAUUUAGUUUGUCCCGAACUUUUGGCGUUGAAAUGAAAAAAAACCUCUUUGUUUGUCCAACUUUUGCAUUUUUUCAUUUGCCAAAUGUUACGGCAAAUUUGGCCGUGUAACGUUGAUUUUGUUGAGCAGUUUACGAGCUAUUCAGUAAUUUACAUUCAAAAAUUAAAAAUCCCUUAAACAAAGAAAUUGUUGUGCCUGCAUGAGACGCCCCUGGGUAACGUCUGCAAAUACCAGCCAGUAAAUUAAAUCGGGAAUUUCAUAAUAAUAAUUUAAUAAGUUAAGCGCAAAAGGUUUAAAAAAAUAUUACGAAAAAACCAUCUUUAGCGUCCUCUCUUUCAUGUUCAGCACCUUUUGUGCUUUUGUUAAUGUUUAUACGAGCCCGUUUUAUUGUUUUACAAGUUUUUCAUAUUACAAUAUUUUGUGAUUAUCUGUUACAUGUGCUCAAAUCAUUUCACUUGUCACUUCACGGCUAUCAAAACUGUCUUAACUGUCUUAAAGUGCCCCAAUGUGGCAACGUUGAGAGGCGCGAACACCACUUAUAUUUUUCAGCCUGCAUUGGUAAUAUCUAGAUGUGGACCGAAAAUUUAUAAUUCUACUAUUUUUAAAACUGCACUUAUAUCAUUAAAGUAUGAGUGCUAGACUGUGAUCAUUAACGACUUUUAUACAGAAUUAAAGACAUCUUUCGUCAAGAAGCUUUAAAAUUUGCAGAAGACUAGAAGAAGAAGGCUAGAAGAGGACCAAAAUUCAGGAACUUCUGAGCAAAUCUCAUCAUCUAUUCAGGCUAAUAAAUAAAGGUGGCAAAAAAUAACUUACUCUUUGAUAAGCUGCUGAAGCGGUUCUCUCUGCCAGUUUCGUCUUCAUGCACGAGUGCACUUCUUAUCUCUCCCCUCUAAAGUGUUUUUGGGGA